rnacentral:misc_RNA from 1 species
GGCAUCUAGGUGGGACAAUGCUUAUGGGCCUCGCAAUUUUCAACGAAAUCCCAAAAAAAGAAGAGAAUAAUUCUCGUUGAUGCUUCCUUGAGUGUUACCCUUUGUUUGAAAAAAAAAAAAAAGCAAAUAAAAAAAAAGAAUAAAAUUAACGAUUUUUUUUACUAACUUUAAAGNNNNNNGUGAUAAUAAUAUUUCUUGUUUUUUAAACAAAUUUAUUUAUUAUUCAAAUAUUAAUUUUUU